rnacentral:rRNA from 1 species
AGAGUUUGAUUAUGGCUCAGGAUGAACGCUAGCGGCAGGCCUAAUACAUGCAAGUCGGACGGUAAAUGCCCCUUCGGGGGCAUGAGAGUGGCGGACGGGUGCGUAACGCGUAUGCAACCAACCCCGACCAGGCGGACAGCCGGUGGAAACGCCGGAUAAGACGCCAUGCGGCCAUGCGGGGGCAUCCCUGUGUGGUCAAAGCGGAGACGCGGGACGGGACGGGCAUGCGUGCCAUUAGAUAGUCGGCGGGGUGACGGCCCACCGAGUCGACGAUGGCUAGGGGAUCUGAGAGGACGGUCCCCCACACUGGUACUGAGACACGGACCAGACUCCUGCGGGAGGCAGCAGUGGGGGAUAUUGCACAAUGGGCGAAAGCCUGAAUGCAGCAACGCCGCGUGAGGGAAGACGGUUUUCGGAUUGUAAACCUCUGUCUUUGGUGACGAAGAAAUGACGGUAGCCGAGGAGGAAGCCACGGCUAACUACGUGCCAGCCGCCGC